GUUUGCUUAGGGAGGGUGGGUAAAGUUGUUAAUAUUAAGCUGAAUUUCUUAGAAUCAAAUCUCCCAUAUGGCCCUAAAUAGAGUUGAAUGGAAUAAAUUAUUCUUUUGAGUUCAAUAGAAAAAUAAUUCAUGCAAUUAAUCCCCAGAAAUUGAAUCUAUUUCUUUACUCCUUGCCAGAUCAACUAAUUCGCUCGGUCAACAUUCAUCCAAAAUGAAUGUUCUCCUGUGACAUAAUCUUACAAUUAAUUCCU
rnacentral:misc_RNA from 1 species